UCGUCCAUCAUUUUUGUGGAUUAGCAAUUUUGUUCUCAAAUAAUUGCAUAGUCACAAAAGUGAUGGACGU
rfam:Wuchereria bancrofti cont1.9858, whole genome shotgun sequence.